GCCUCCUUUUUUCCCAAUCCAUCCAUCCAUCCAGUCCAGAUCGAGAGAGAGCUCGUCUCCUUCCUUCCUCCAGCUCCCUCCAGAUCGAGAAAGAGAUCGCCGCCGCCACCUCCCUCCAGCGGAGCUCGCCGCCGUCCAUGGCCUCCCCCACGCCCUCCUGCUCCGCUUGCUCCUCCUCCCUCCACGCCUCCCGCGCGCCGUUGCCGAUUUCCCAAACCAGACCGCCUCCCCGGUUCACUCCUUCCUCCCCUCCCACCCACCCGCCUCGGCGCCGCCACCCAACUCGCCGACGACCUUACGCAUCGCCGCCGGCCUCCGCUCCCUCCCCUCCCACACGCCCGACGCCCCACCCUCUCCACCUCCCCUUCUCCCCCUACCCCCAGUAGCACCCAGGCCCAACAGCACAUGCGGCAGCCAGAUCCCAGAUCCAGCACGCCGGCUUGUGCCUCACCGGAGGUGCCCAGCAGAGUGAGGUGGGCUGCCCGCGUGCACACGCCAUGGACCUCCGUCACGGGACGCCAACGCGUCUCGUCUGCCUGGCCGCGUCACCAGACUGUUGCCUGCUUGCUCCCUGCCGACGCCAUCCCGUGCUCGGGACGCCGCGCCUACCACGCCCCGACGUCCCUCCUCCCUCGCCCCUGCGUCGGGCCCGUCGUCCGUCCCCGAGAUGGAGAGGGUGCUCAAGGAUGAUGCCAUCCAGGAGAAGGGCGAGCGCGCCAGGGUGGUGGCAGGCUUAUACGGCAUCGCGAGCAGGAGGGCCAUGAGGGGUUUGCUGCUCUGCUCCUAGGGCGACCAAGAGGUCCUGCCCCGAGCUCAAGCACGUCCACGCCGACCCACCAUGACAGAUGACCAAGCCCAAGGAGGAAGCAGCUGCUCAUCACUGAGGACAAGUAACUCCAGCAGGUUGACGCCGUAGAUUCACAAUGUACCUUCUACUAGUCGAAUGCCCGUGCGUUGCCACGGAUACGAAAUAAAAUGUAGGUGUUAUGAUUAUAUAUUUGUUUUAAUUCAAAAAUGUGUGCAGAAGAUGGCGGUACAUGAUUUUCAUUCAUGUCCACUUGCUGCAUUGCUCCAA